GAUGAACGCUGGCGGCGUGCCUAAUACAUGCAAGUCGAGCGAACAGACGAGGAGCUUGCUCCUCUGACGUUAGCGGCGGACGGGUGAGUAACACGUGGAUAACCUACCUAUAAGACUGGGAUAACUUCGGGAAACCGGAGCUAAUACCGGAUAAUAUAUUGAACCGCAUGGUUCAAUAGUGAAAGACGGUUUUGCUGUCACUUAUAGAUGGAUCCGCGCCGCAUUAGCUAGUUGGUAAGGUAACGGCUUACCAAGGCAACGAUGCGUAGCCGACCUGAGAGGAUGAUCGGCCACACUGGAACUGAGACACGGUCCAGACUCCUACGGGAGGCAGCAGUAGGGAAUCUUGCGCAAUGGGCGAAAGCCUGACGGAGCAACGCCGCGUGAGUGAUGAAGGUCUUCGGAUCGUAAAACUCUGUUAUUAGGGAAGAACAAAUGUGUAAGUAACUAUGCACGUCUUGACGGUACCUAAUCAGAAAGCCACGGCUAACUACGUG
rnacentral:rRNA from 1 species